rnacentral:tRNA from 1 species
AAGAGUAUAGUUUAAUGGUAAAAUAAGGAGCUUCAACCUCCCAGUUCUCAGUUCAAAUCUGAGUACUCUUG